rnacentral:rRNA from 1 species
GAUUAACGCUGGCGGGAUGCAUAACACAUGCAAGUCGAGCGGCAGCACUUCGGGUGGCGAGCGGCGGACGGCUGAGUAACACGUUGGUACCUGCCUUGAACUCAGGGAUAAGCACCGGAAACGGUGUCUAAUACCGGAUACCCCCGUAAGGGGAAAGCUUCGGCGGUUCAAGAGGGACCUGCGGCCUAUCAGUUAGUUGGUAAGGUAACGGCUUACCAAGACUAUGACGGGUAGCUGGUGUGAGAACACGACCAGCCAGAAUGGGACUGAGACACGGCCCAUACUCCUACGGGAGGCAGCAGUGAGGAAUUUUCCGCAAUGGACGAAAGUCUGACGGAGCAAUCCCGCG